rnacentral:rRNA from 1 species
GAUUAGAGUUUGAUCCUGGCUCAGAACGAACGUUAGCGGCGCGCUUAACACAUGCAAGUCGCACGAGAAAGGGAGCAAUCCCCGGUACAGCGGCGCACGGGUGAGUAACACGUAGGUAAUCUGCCUCUGAGUGGUGGAUAACCUCCCGAAAGGGGGGCUAAUACAGCAUAAGACCACGGUUUCGAGAGAAACUGAGGUCAAAGCCGGCCUCUUCAUGAAAGCUGGUGCUCGGAGAUGAGCCUGCGGCCCAUCAUCGGUAGUUGGCGGGGUAAUGGCCCACCAAGCCUAAGACGGGUAGCUGGUCUGAGAGGAUGAUCAGCCACACUGGAACUGAGACACGGUCCAGACUCCUACGGGAGGCAGCGGUGGGGAAUCUUGCGCAAUGGGCGAAAGCCUGACGCAGCGACGCCGCGUGGGUGAUGAAGGCCUUCGGGUUGUAAAGCUCUUUGGGUGGAGACGAAUAAGUCGUGGCUAACAUCCACGAUGAUGACGGUUCCACAUAACAAG